rnacentral:rRNA from 1 species
UACGUAGGGUGCGAGCGUUAAUCGGAAUUACUGGGCGUAAAGUGUGCGCAGGCGGCCGCGCAAGUCGAGUGUGAAAGCCCCGGGCUUAACUUGGGAACUGCGCUCGAAACUACGUGGCUGGAGUGUGGCAGAGGAAGGUGGAAUUCCAGGUGUAGCGGUGAAAUGCGUAGAGAUCUGGAGGAACACCGAUGGCGAAGGCAGCCUUCUGGGCCAACACUGACGCUCAUGCACGAAAGCGUGGGGAGCAAACAGG